rnacentral:rRNA from 1 species
GAGCGGAUCUGCUUGAUUAGAUGCUCUCAAGCUUGGUAAGCGCCGGACGGGUGAGUAACACGUAUGCAACCUGCCCUCAAGAUCGGGAUAUCAUUCGGAAACGCCUGCUAAGACGGGAUACGCAGUUCUGUCGCAUGAUGGAACUGGGAAACACGGUGCAAGCUGUGGCUUGAGGAUGGGCCUGCGGCGCAUAAGCUAGUUGGUGGGGUAACGGCUCACCAAGGCGACGAUGCGUAUCCGACCUGAGAGGGUGAACGGCCACUCUGGGACUGAGACACGGCCCAUACUCCUACGGGAGGCAGCAGUAUGGAAUCUUCCACAAUGGGCGAAAGCCUGAUGGAUCAUCGCCGCGUGAGUGAGGAAGGCUUUCGGGUCGUAAAGCUCUGUUGCCAGUGUAAGAAUAAUGAUGAUUUAACUGCUCAUUCGAUGACGGUACCUGAUAAGAAAGCCCCGGCUAACUACGUGCCAGCAGCCGCGGUAAU